rnacentral:rRNA from 1 species
UAUCUCUGUAGAGUCUGCAUAUCAAUAAGCGGAGGAAAAGAAACUAACUAGGAUUCCCUCAGUAACGGCGAGUGAAGCGGGAAGAGCUCAAAUUUGAAAUCUUCAAGGUUCUACCUUGACGAAUUGUAGUUUAAAGAAGUGUUUUCUGUUGGAGUUUUGGUAAAAGUUCUUUGGAAUAGGACAUCAUAGAGGGUGAGAAUCCCGUAUUUGACCAUUAUUUCCAGCUUUGUGAUACACUUUCAAAGAGUCGGAUUGUUUGGGAAUGCAGUCCAAAAUGGGUGGUAAAUUUCAUCUAAAGCUAAAUACUGGCGAGAGACCGAUAGCGAACAAGUACCGUGAGGGAAAGAUGAAAAGAACUUUGAAAAGAGAGUUAAACAGUACGUGAAAUUGUCAAAAGGGAAGCGUUUGACACCAGUGUUGUUUUCUCGAAAAUCAAUUAAAAAAGGCAGGAUUUUGUGUUGUAUUGACUUUAUCAGCUUUCUACACUCUUUUCUUGUCUUUUUUAAUGCACUUUUCGUUUAACAAGUCAACAUCAAUUUCUUUUGUUGUAAGAGGGUCAUUGGAAGGUGGCUUCCUUUUCGGAGAAAGUGUUUAUAGCCUUUGGCCUCUGCAAUCGGAGAGAUUGAGGUCUGCAGCGUAGAUCCUUCGGGGUUAGAUACAUUUGUGCUAAGUUAUAGCCUUUCAUAGACAACUUGUUGACUAUGAUCAGUCAUGUAGCUUACUCGCUUAUGCUAUUUUACCUACGCUUAGGAUGUUGAUAGUCACAGCGUGUAC